CCUGCACACAUGUUUAUGUUUUCAAGGCUAUUAAGGUACAACUGGCGCAGCCUCCAAAGAUGGAUUUGGUUGAAAUUAAGUAUACACACCUCUUGGUGUCCAGUGUGGUUCUUCUCGAUGUGUUCUCUGUACCAGUCAAUUGAUAGCAAUUUCCUUAUCACGGAGCCAGCACCUCUUAAAUCCUUCACCGUUUCAAAGAGAGGAACCACUCGCAGUCUAUCAUGUAACAAAAACAAAUCAGCAUACCAAGUACUUAUGUCAUCAAAAUAUGUAAGACACAAGACACAACCAUUCAUGAUAGUAGGCAGACAUGCAAAUUGAUAAUGAAUGAAGUGUUCCUUCAAGAAAUUACACUCACGUUCCAGCAGGACAUGGUCUUCCCAGCUCUCCAGUGACGGCAAGACGUGCAUCUUUCUGUAGAAGUUCCACAGCGAGGACAUCACUUGCCUACAAGUUGCAACAAAUUAAUGGCAUCAUUUUUGCUGCGGAUCUAAAAUAGUUACUUGUCCACAUUAGCCUCAGAAAAGAGUUGACUGUAAAAGACUUGAUCUAUCAUACGUUUGAAGCCAUGGAAAUCACGUAAGCUCCAAGUGAUUCACUUCCUAGCUCAGCAGCAACUCGGAAAGUGUCUAGUACUUCUUUCACUUCAGGACCGACCUGCAACAGUUCAAUGAUUUUGAGGACUGUGUUGCAAACAUAACGUACAAGAGAUAAAAUGGGAGAUCACUUUUGUAUCAUACUGGGUUUCCUUGAAGUCUAACAUAAAAAAAACCCACGGUGAGUGCUCGCUGACCUCAAUAUUUGGGGGGACAAGAGGACGUUUCCCUUUCAAUUCUCUUGUCAAGAACUCAAGCUUCUUCUCUUCAUCCCAUUCACUAUAUGUGCCCAUGUCCAAGUAUGUUGUAAUUGCAUCCAAAGCUUCAGAAUGCUUUGCAGCUUCCUGAAUAAUUAAAUCUUAGAUCAGACAGAAACAACAGAAAAGGAGCCAAAACAACAAGCAAGAAAAACGUCACCUGUCGUAAAUCAAGUUUCAUCAAAACCAUGCCGAAAGUAGCAACUCUACGGAUCAAAUCAGCAAGCCGGCCAUCAGCUAGAACUCCGGAAUCAGAUGCAUGCUGAGAAAAUAGUAAUUUUCAGUUAGAAAGGUAAUGAUAUUUAAUGGGAACUCAAUUUGCAUGGAGCAAGAUCGUACCAGAGAUUCAUAGCAGAGAAGUAAUGGUUCCAGAAAUUGGUCUGAUGUUUCAUAGUAGUCCCAAGGAUCAUAUUCACAAGGAAGACCCUCAAGAAGAAGUUCCAGAAGUCUUCGUGUCUUCAAAAGCUGUAAUCACCAGAUCAUUACAAGUGAGUGGUUUUGAGCGAGAAUGUACAGUUUACCAAUAUGUUUAUAAAUUUCUGAUAUUGAGAAUA